rnacentral:rRNA from 1 species
UACGUAGGGUGCAAGCGUUGUCCGGAAUUAUUGGGCGUAAAGAGCUCGUAGGCGGUUCGUCGCGUCGGCUGUGAAAUCCCGAGGCUCAACCUCUGGUCUGCAGUCGAUACGGGCGGACUGGAGUUCGGCAGGGGAGACUGGAAUUCCUGGUGUAGCGGUGAAAUGCGCAGAUAUCAGGAGGAACACCGGUGGCGAAGGCGGGUCUCUGGGCCGAUACUGACGCUGAGGAGCGAAAGCGUGGGGAGCAAACAGG